rnacentral:rRNA from 1 species
GAUGAACGCUGGCGGCGUGCCUAAUACAUGCAAGUCGAGCGAACGGACGAGAAGCUUGCUUCUCUGAUGUUAGCGGCGGACGGGUGAGUAACACGUGGAUAACCUACCUAUAAGACUGGGAUAACUUCGGGAAACCGUAGCUAAUACCGGAUAAUAUUUUGAACCGCAUGGUUCAAAAGUGAAAGACGGUCUUGCUGUCACUUAUAGAUGGAUCCGCGCUGCAUUAGCUAGUUGGUAGGGUAACGGCUUACCAAGGCAACGAUGCAUAGCCGACCUGAGAGGGUGAUCGGCCACACUGGAACUGAGACACGGUCCAGACUCCUACGGGAGGCAGCAGUAGGGAAUCUUCCGCAAAGGGCGAAAGCCUGACGGAGCAACGCCGCGUGAGUGAUGAAGGUCUUCGGAUCGUAAAACUCUGUUAUUAGGGAAGAACAUAUGUGUAAGUAACUGUGCACAUCUUGACGGUACCUAAUCAGAAAGCCACGGCUAACUACGUG